rnacentral:lncRNA from 10 species
UUGCAAGCUCAAAAUUAGCUACUCUGGAUUCCUUCUGGGGAAGGGAGUGGAGACUGCUCUGUGCUGUAGCUCAGUAGCUGAGGUUUUGCCCUUUCAUAGCAGUGGUCCAGGUGCAAACAGUGUCACCGUGAACUACUGGACAGGAUGUACCCUGCACACUGGCUCCUAGCCAAGAAGAAAAUGGGGCCAAACGGAUUGCCAAGCCAUGCACUGGGAGCAGAUGCUUCACGUGGAUCAAGAGGCUUCUGCCCAGAGGGCCUUUCUAUAAUUUAUGCAAAGAACACAAAUGGGCUGUUAACCCUAGCCAAAUCUACAACAUUGAUGCAAUUUGGAGAUAUUCUCCAUUAAGUGCUAUUCCCACAUGACUCAGGAAGAGAGGUGGCGAGUGGCAGAUGAAGGCGAUGCUCCUCCAUUAAAAUGACAGAGUCAGCAGAGAGGCUACAACUGAGGAGCUUUCAUAAAUCACAAAUCACAGGAUUUACAAUUUGGGGAACUAUAAGAGGAGAUAAACAACAAACUGAGGUUUUUGAGAUAUUGGGAAUGUUGCUGACCUGUAAUACUGAUUCCUAUUGUGAAUUCCUUUUAUUAUGUACUUAUUUUUUCAUAGUAGUAGAUAUUAUACUGCCUAUAUUCCUUUCUGAUAAUUUUGGGAACAUAGAACAGCAAGAUUUUGAUAUUUGUAACAUUUAGCAUCUGAGUGCAAGUGACAACCCCAAAGCAAGAGUGGCUUAGAGAAGGCAGAUAUUUAUUUCUCUGUCAAUUAACAGGAGGCAGAAGCAGGCAGUUUAAUAAAGAGACACCACAAUCAGGUGGGACUAAGGUUUGUUCUACCAGGUCUUUUUGUCACCCUAACAUGGUUUCCAACUCAAACUCCAAGAUAGCUGCUCCAGAUGGAGACCUCACAUCUGCACUCCCUGCAGGAAGGAGGAAGGGUCUGACCUUUCCUUUAAGGGGGAACACUUCCUGUAGCUGGUACACAACACUUCUACUUAGAUCUGACUGGCCAGAAUUUAGUCCUAUGGCCAUGUGUCUCUAUAAGGAAGACUAAAAUGUAAAUUUUAUUUUGGACAACCAUAUGCCCAGCUAAAAAUUAGUGGUUCCAUUACCAAAGAAGUAGGAGAGGAUGAAUAUUGGGAAACAAUUAGCCGUCUCUGCAAUAACCUUUUAAUAGUUUGCUCUAGAUGCUAUAGAGGCUAGAUUUUUCCAUUUUGUUUUGUUUCUUAUUGAUUUUCUUAAAGAAAAAUACUAGAUAUUUACGUAUAAACAAUACUAUUUUUUUCUGUCAUAUUUGCGACUAAUAAAUUUCAAUGCUACUUUUUAAAGUCUUUUAAAUUCAGUUAAUGUUUAUUAAAGGAGAGAUAUAAAAUGCUUAUAUUGUCAAAUUUACUAACCAUAAAUGUUGGGAUUUUUUUCCCAUUGCUUUUAAGUGUAUAAAAUGUUUUCUAUCCUGAGAUCCAGAGACUGGGAUCAAUAACCACCUUCAUUUUCUUCUACUUUAUUUUUUGUUUAACUUAAUUAGGUAUAUGGUAUGAGGAAAGUCUCUAAAUCCGUAAUUAUUUUCUAAAUAGCCACUGUAGAUCUUUGUUAUUUAUUAAUCUUUUUCUUUUGCAUUGAUUUGUAGUGUCUUAUUCAUUAUAUAAUUACACAAACAAAAAUAAUAUAUGUAUUUUUAACUUACCCUGUUUCACUGGUGCCAGAAAUGUUUUUGUAGCAGAAUAUUUGCUUGUGAUGAGGAAUUUUGUUGAAAAGUAUUUGGAUGUCCUUCUGGCACAGUUAUCACCAUUUAUUACCUAGAGAUAAAAACAUUUCUCUCUUUUUUAAAAAGUGAAUUUAGAAAAUGCUUCUCCACAUGAAUGUCCUGUAAGCACUUCAAACUCAGUAUGCCCAAAAGAAACCCAUCAUUUUGUAGCCUCAUUACAACUCUCCUCCUGUAAUGUUUCCCAGGACGGUUAAUGGUGUAGCUUUUAUCCAAUCUCCCUAGCUACAAACCUCAGCAUCACUUUCCUUCUGCAUUUCUUCCGCUAUUCCCCAGUGUUUGCUAAUCUGUCCUGCAAUGUUACCAGAAUCAGUUUUUUUUUUUAAUUUUUAAUUUUAUUUUUAAUUUAAUUUUUUUUUGGAAGACGGAGUUUCGCUGUUGUCACCCAGGCUGGAGUGCAGUGGCACAAUCUCGGCUCACUGUAACCUCUGCCUCCCGGGUUCAAGUGAUUCUCUUGCCUCAGCCUCCCGAGUAGCUGGGGUUACAUGCGGCUGCCACCGUGCCCGGCUAUUUUUUGUAUUUUUAGUAGAGAUGGGGUUUCACCAUGUUGGCCAGGCUGGCCUCAAACUCCUGACCUCAUGUGAUCUGCCCGCCUCGGCCUCUCAAAGUGCUGGGAUUACAAGCGCGAGCCACCGUGCCCGGCCCAGAAUCAGUUUUCUCCAUUUGUUGCCACUGCCUCUACUCUCAGGGUUGCACCUUCUCUACCCUGGAUGCUGAGAACAGCUCCAGCCUCUCACCUGUCCAUCCUCUGCAUAGGUAUCAGUUAUCUCCCUAAAUUACAGAUUCAAAUACAUUACUUCUUCUGCUCUUAAUCCUUGAGUGGCUUCCCAUCAUCUUUGGAAUAGAGUUCAAACUCAUUAACAUGAUAUUCAAAGCUGAACACAAGGUAGGUCUACAGCAAACUUUCUUUUCCCCACUCUUCACUCCUGGCUGCCCAUGAAACCUGUGUUCUGUCACCCAGGUAAAUGGCUCACCUUUACUUUUGAAUAUUUACACAUCCUUUUCCCUUGAGCUGUUUUGCGCAUAAACACCUUUCCCUCUCUGUUUGCAUAACCCAC